AUCACCGAAGUUAAGCAAUCUCGAGCUUGCUUAGUACCUAGAUGGGUGACCACUUGGGAAUACCAGGUGAUGUAU